UCGACAAUGCUCGGCUAAUUUACAACUCUGCCCCCCGCAAUCUAGAACAAUCUAGAAUCCACAACUCUGCGGGGGGCACGAUCAGUUGUGCACUUGACUUUGUAAAGAGAGGACGUUAUUUUUUUGUGAGCUCCUGUUUUUUCUGGAAUUUUCGAUGGCUUGGGGUCCCGGUUGGGUUUGAGCUUCGACGACAAUUAACACUUUUUUUUUGUAAUCCCGCUGCAUUUAUGUUGCUGUCAUUUUUUUGGGGAUUUGUUCAAUUAUGACGACACUACUAAUGUUUAUUGAGGCUUAUUGAGAGUUUGAGACUACGUGGGAUUUUUCUCAAAGGUGCUCAAAGUUUGUUAUCAUUAAUUUUGGGCAUUAUAUGCUGAUAUUACUGAUGAAUUGGCUAUUGAGAGUUUAUAUACUACGUUGGAUUUUACUUUGGUGCUCACUGGUGUUGGUUACAUGAAUUUGUUGAAACAUCCCACUUUACCAGCAGAAAAAGUGAUGAGUUCGCUUAUUGAGACUAUGUAGGAUUUUACUCCAAGGUGUUCAAAGUUUGCUGUGAUCUAUUCAAUUAUGAUGAUAUUACUGAUGAAUUAAGCUUAUUGAGAGUUUGAUACUACGUGUGAUUUUACUCAAAGCUGC